UCCACACCUCCCUGCAAGCUGAGGGAGUGGGCUCUGGCCUUGGCCAGCCCAGAAAGGGGCUCCCACAGUGCAGCCGUGGGCUGAAGGGCUCCUCAAGUGCCGCCAAAGUGGGAGCCCAGGCAGAGGAGUCGCGGAGAGCGAGCGCGGGCUGUGAGGACUGCCGGCACGCUGUCACCUCUCAAUAACGCCCAUCCCAACGUUUCCUGAGGAAUAAUUUUGGUCGUGUUCCUGCUACUCAGCUUUUCGUGGUUCCUACUCAUUUUCAGAGUCUAACAUUCCAGCUUUUCCGGAAAUUCUGUUAAAAAGCUAAGGCUCAGAGAGGUCAAUUAACUUUCUCAGGAUUGCAGAAUCAAUAACGGGAGGGACCAGAGCUUAAGCCUAUGUACUUGGAUUCUAAAAGCACCGACUCUGAUUCUUGACUGCCUACAGAAUUGAAUGACAAUACUGUUGUGCACAACAAAGUCUAAGAAUUAAUAACAGAUACUUUGAUGUAAAAGUUUUCAAAGAAAUGCUUUGGGCAGAAGAGACUCAUGGAAACUGUACCAUGCUGUUUGAGCCAUCUGUGACAAACCCACACCCAACACCAUACUGAAAGGGCAAAAGCUGGAAGCAGUCCCCUUGAAAACUGGCAGAAGAAAAGGAUGCCCUCUCUCACCACCUAUUCAGCAGAGACACUAUAUCUGGAGCCAGGAAUAAUAGGAUCCGAGAAACAGUAACAAGUAUAAAACAAAGUGGUCUUGAACUCCUGGCCUCAAGUAAUCCUCCCCACUGGGCUUCCCAAAGUGCUGGGACUACAGAGAGGCAGGGCAGCAUUGUGCCGAACACCAAAUUCAGGUCUGUGGAAAACACUCAGUGAGGAAGAUUUGACGAUGUGAUGCAGUGAGGGGCAUUUACACCCUGUUGGAAAACAAAGCUGCCAGAGUUUCCUUCAGCUAUACAGACUGACACAAAAUGCCUGUUACAAAAGCAUGUUCCAAAAACAGUGUGCAUGAUAUGGUUAAAAAGCCAUGAAUUCUGGCAUUCUUUUACGUGGUUUAAUUGCUGCAGGUUGGUUUCACAGUGCUUCACAGGUGAGCAAUAUAGAUUCAUUUUUCCAUCUAAAUAAGAUGUGGCCUCACACUGAACAUGAGGUAAACUGCAAAAUCAUCUUCAUUGUCCACAUGACUCUAAAACUGUAGCAGAAGUUGUAAGUUGCUUCAUAACAUUUGCUUCCCUUGAAGCCAGGAGCUUGCAAAAAAGUAAAGUUACAGCUCCAGACUUGUGAAGAAUUCCUCAAACAUGGGCUGAGGCACAGGUAGCUCAUUGCUAACUCUACCUGCUCAUUUCCUGGGAUUUCACCGAACAGUAACAUAAAUUUACAACAUUCUCAGAAACACUUAGCAGUCUUGUGCUCUGUAUCUGAGAGACCUACUCUUUUUAGUCCAUCUGUUUGUACCAGCACAGAAAAUGUUAAAAAGUAAUGUAUACAAAAACUAUGACAAUGUAUUCAUACAAACAGAUGUAGAGAAAUGUGUUUCUUUGCAAUUUAGCAUACAUGUUUAUAUGUAAUCUGGUUGCAGAAUAAUAUAGUUUUUGAAUGUGUUUUUUUCCUAAUCACCUUACAUGUUAUAAUUUCUGGUAAAACAGUUUCAUUCUCACU